CCACCCCAGCCAGCAGGGGUGUGUGGAGCCCAGGGCAGCUGCUGCAGAGUGAAGUGGAGAGGGCAGAGGAAGAAAGAGAAAGGGCUGAUAGGGAGUGAUGCGGUGGCUGAAGAAAAAAGAGAAAGAGACAAGGGGUAGAGGCAAGCGGCAAAGAGAAAUAGAAGGAGAAGGAGGUACAGGAAAACCGGAAGGAAUGAUACCUAACUUGGUCUUAGUACUUUGCAGUUUUGCCAGGUUUAUGACUGUGUUUGACACUCUACAUGGCCCUUGGAGGUAAACAGGGUAAGUGAGGUUGUUACUAUGUCAUUUCCAUGAAGAAGCUGGAAUUGUGGCGGGAUGUUGAGUCAUUUUACCUAAAUGCCUAAAGCAUGUCUCAAAAGAAUGGAGGUGAGGCAUUACUGCUGUCUACAAAAUUUGAAACGGCCUUGUGUAGAGAAGGCUGAGCUUUAACUAAUCAUUCUCCUCCUAUGUGGAGGAGGCACUCUACACGCAUAAACUUACUUAGUCCUCACAAUAGCCACUUUGAGGUAGAGAUUAUUAUUCUUGUUGUUCAAAUGGGGACAAAUGACUGCCCAAGAGCACAUGGCUGCUGGGAAGGGUGAGCCCAGGUCCCCCAACUCCUGUUUUCCUCAUAUGACCUCCUAUGAGUGGACCAGAACCUAUUGCUCCAGGGUAGUGGGAGAUCCAUUUCAGAUCAGUCCAACGAGAAGUCCUUGCCUCAGAACUGCUCAUGGAUGAAAGGGUACACUGGGAAGAACUGGGUUCUUGGAAGGAUCCAAGCAUAGGCUGGACAAGCUGUUGCCUGGAAUGUGGGGUCAGAUGUUCCCGCCAUAGAUAGAUGGGGAGACCAGAUGCCUUUCCUCCCCAUCCUGGGAGCCUUCGCCUUGGGAAAGUGUCCUGGAGUGCAUUUCUCCAGGCUUGUGUUGGGCAUCUGAGCUGGGACUAGAGGGUGGGUGUCCUGAUGCCUGCUGAGAGCACCUUGUACUUCAUCUGGAGGCACUCAUGAAAGCAAAGGAGAAAAGCAAAUGCUGGGAGGAACACAGGAAGGAAAACAUAGAAGUAGCUCAAAGAUCCCAGAGAAGAAGAAAUGUGGGGAGACGCGGGCACACAGGCAGGGCGUCUGCACCGGCAGGGGCAGUGUUCGUACCCCCUACCCCCCAUCUCGAUACUGAGAUAGGAGGACUCUCUUCUUAAAGUUGUUUGUUUUUCUUAGUUGACUGGGAAAUUUCACCUUUAGUAAUUCCUUCUGUUGGGCGUUAAGAUCUCAGUUUAUCAGAAUAUGCUGGUUAAAAUGCAGAUACCUCUGGGAGAAGUAACACAAGGUGUCACCUGGAGGCACUGUUUCAUCAGUUUCUUUCCCCAAAAGACAGCAAAGUGGCCUGGAAAUGGAACUCAGACUAGAGGUGGCGGGGCAGGGAGGCGAGGACGGGGCAGGGAGGCGAGGACGGGGCAGGGAGGCGAGGACGGGGCAGGGAGGCGAGGACGGGGCAGGGAGGAGGGUUCCAAAGAAGCACGUUGCUGAUUUCUAAGCAUCACUCCUUGUGAGGACCAAGAAGGAAUAUUUUUGCUACUCUCACCCUGACUAAAGUGGUUCUCAAGUAAGUCUGGGGUCCAAAGCAUUGAGGAGACCCCGGGGAGAGUUGUCAGAGGGUCUCAGAGGAACCUAGCUCAGGAGGAGAGGCCGAGGCAAUCAAGAUGGUUUAUCUCUACAAAGAGAAGGCUGAGGGGAUACCUAGUGUCUUCCUUUAAAUAUCUGAAAUUGUUCUUGAGAGCGGCUGGUGAAGAUUCCACUUAAAACCUCGGGAUCAAGGACUUCUCUCAAGCAUGAGGAAGUGCUCCCUUCUCCAGAGGGAUGCAAAUGCUGGCGUGGAGUCUGCAGGGGGCCUGGCUGCUUCUGGGACAUGGUGAGUGUGGGGAGAGGUCCCGGCUCUGCCGGAUGACCAGGCACAGCCCUGCCAUGGAGGCCUCCCAGCGGGGCCUGGGAUCCAUCUCGGCUGCUGGCCCAGCAGAUUCUCUCCCGUGCUGCUGCUGUGGUAAGUUACCCAAGCACAGAGGUGGGUUUCUGUGGGGGCCGGCGUUGGGACCCAUGCCAGACUGAUGGUGUAGAUAAGAGGAAGUGUGACUCCAGCAGAGAGCAUCAGCUUUGCUGUAGGACUGCCCCAGCUUCCAACCUCAUUGCACCACUUGGCUCCGUGACUCUGAGAAACUUACUAACCUCUCUUACCUUGUUAUCCCAUGUGUUAAAUGGCAGCAAUGAUAGCCCCUUCCUCAUAGGGCUGUUGAUAGCCAUAUCCCAGCUGAGGACAGGAGGUGAGGCUGAGAACAGUCCCAGCACUCAGACAUGGAAGCAGCGCUACUGGGAGGCUUGAACAUCCACUGUCUCUCCAGUCUCUGGACUAGCUCCUCCGUGCCCCCAAGGCUGAUGUGUCAGAGAUGAGAUGUGAGACCUCAGCCCCUCCCGCCCCUGCUGCCUGGCUGCCACUUUGCAUGCAGCUUUGGUCUGAACCCCACCUGCUGCUCCAGACCACAGCUGGGCCCAGCCCACGUCCUCCUUCUUCCUUGGGACUGCAAAGACGUCCUGCCCCUCUUCCACACUGCCACACUCUGCAUGUUACAGGGACUGGAGAGACUCCCUGCCCCUCUUCCACACUGCCACACUCUGCGUUAGAGGCUGCUGCCAUUUGGAACGGCUGAUGAUGAAGGGAUCUCACCCCAGGAUUUUCUCACAUCAGGGAUGCAGCA
rnacentral:lncRNA from 10 species